rnacentral:lncRNA from 1 species
GCUGCUCUCCAUCUUUAUCACUGCAGCAAUGUGGUUACGUAAACCUUUUGGUUCUUUGAGUUUGAUGACCUCUUUCAUUUCCUGCUUCAAACCAGUGUAAAACUUGCUGAUCAGGUUAGGCUCAUCAAUUCUUUUAACUUGAGUUAUCAGCUCUUCAAACUUCUUGACAUACUGACGUACAGAACCGGUCUGCGUCAAAGCACACAAGCGAUUGCGAAGUUCAUCAUCAAUCGACUCCGCAAAUCUCUCCAACAUCCGCUGUUUAAAGUGAAACCAGCUCUCGAAUCUCUCCUCCUCUGCUUCCCAUAGAUACCAGUUCAAUACCUCCCUAGUCAAAC